GCCUUGGUCGGAAACCAAGGCACUCUGUCAAAGGAG
rnacentral:ncRNA from 1 species